AAUCAACGCUGGCGGCGUGCCUAACACAUGCAAGUCGAGCGAGAAAAGGGGAGCAAUCCUCUGAGUAAAGCGGCGCACGGGUGAGUAACACGUGGGUAAUCUGCCCUGAAGUGGGGAAUA
rnacentral:rRNA from 1 species